rnacentral:misc_RNA from 1 species
AUCUUCUUCUCAUCAGAUCUUUGUUUCUUUACCCUCUUUCUUUCUUUUUUUUGCUUUUUAUGGUUAUGUUUUUUCUCGAUUUAGACAAAAACCCUAGAUUUGAUCUUCUAAAGGGUCUCAAAUGGAAUCUCUUCUCUUCUCAUAUCUCUCCCUCUCUCCCUCCCUCUCUUUGAUUCUUUGUCUUCUCCAGUUAAAACUCAGAUCUAACACAAAGCUUAAAAGAUUCUCAUCGUUUCUUGUUUUCUUUGUUUCAUCUUGUAGAUCUCUGAAGUUGGACUAAUUGUGAAUGAAAGAGUUGGGACAAGAG